CAAACUCCUGGGCUUGAGCAAUCCUUCUGUCUCAGCCUCCCAAGUGUAGCUGGGACUACAGGCACACGCCACCAUGCCCAGCUAAUUUUUUUUUUUAAUGUAGAGAUAAGAGUCUCACUAUGUUGCCCAGGUUGAUCUCAAACUCCUGGUCUCAAGAGAUCCUCCCACCUCAGCCUCCCAGAGUCAGAACCCAGAUCUUGGAGCUCUUCUUUUCUUCAUCUAUACCACUGCUUCCUUGAUAAGAGAUCAAGACAUAUACAAAUUAGUCUUUGAAAGAUCUUUCACCUUGUUCAAAGUUAAGAUCCUGUGAACACCAGAAUUGUUCCGCGGCCUCUUCACUAUUGAUUGCAACAGUAUCAUUUACCUGAAGCUACACAGUGACCACAAAAACCAUGUCCAGGACACCAAAUUUCUACUGCGAACUCUAGGGUGAGACACUAAAUCCAGAAGCUGACGACGGCCCAGGAACCAGGACUGCUUUCAGGAGGCGCUCAGAAGGGCAGCAAAGUACCCUCUCAACAUUAGUAAAAUGAAACAAAAGUGUCAGCCUUGGCUUCGCACACACUUACCCGUUCAUGGGGCAUGCUGGAGGCAGACGUUCUCUAUCAGGCAAGAGUUCUCAGUCAGAAUUAAGGUCUGCCAGGCAGAGGGCCACGUCUGGUUUACUUCUGUUUUCUCACUGUUGCUGGUCUUCCCCGAUUCCUGCCUCCCUCUCCAUGUUCUGGGAUGAGACUUUGACUGGUUUCUCAAGGGGCUAACUUUUGGUUCUCUUCUGGGCGUUUCUGCCCAGAGUCCCCUGGUUUGGACAGCAGCGAUCGUCUGUAGGACACACACAGUGAAUCCAGCCACCGGAUGAGGAAUUCUGCUAAUUGUUUAAGCCUGCACUAGUGUCUGGCCACCAGUUGGCAGACACAACUCAUGGCUGCCUACCAGGCCUAGGUUAACACAGCUGGAGCCAGAUGACAGGCUCUCAAAGAUAUUCC
rnacentral:lncRNA from 1 species